GACAGAGGCCUCAAGCGUUAGGCGGAAUCACUGGGCUUAAAGCGUGUGUAGGCGGAUGCCUAAGUACCUUGUGAAAUCCCACGGCUCAACCGUGGAACUGCUGGGUAUACUGGGCGGCUUGGGCCAGUCAGGGGCGACUGGAACAAGCGGUGGAGCGGUGAAAUGCGUAGAUAUCGCUUGGAACGCCGAAGGUGAAAACAGGUCGCUGGGGAUGUACCGACGCUUAGACACGAAAGCCAGGGGAGCAAACGGG
rnacentral:rRNA from 1 species